GCCCAAGGAGGCUUGGUUUUGCAUAAGAAUUCUCAGUGCCCUGCCCUGGGCCAUGUGGCCAUGUGGCUCUGCCAUCUGUUGAGCAGAUAAGGGAGCCUGGGUUUCUGACGUGGGUCCCUGGCACCUGGUGAAUACACCGGUAAAUGGGCCUUUCGCUGGUGUGACUGUCUGGUGCAUCACAGACCUUACCGCCCUGGGCUUCCCCCCACUCCGCAGUUGGACACAGCAAGAAAGCAGCCAUCUGCAAUCUGGGAAGAGAGCCCUCACCAGAACCUGAUGAAGCAGGCAGCCUGAGCUCGGACUUCCAGCCUCCAGAACUGUGAAAAAUAAAUGUCUGUUGCUUAAACCAC
rnacentral:lncRNA from 10 species